UAUAGGUAUAUAUGUAUAUGUGUGUGUGUGUGUGUGUGUGUAUAUAUAUAUAUAUACACACACACACACACACAUAAUAAAUAUACAUAUA